rnacentral:rRNA from 1 species
AUUGAACGCUGGCGGCAGGCCUAACACAUGCAAGUCGAGCGAGCGGCGGACGGGUGAGUAAUGUCUGGAACACUGCCUGAUGGAGGGGGAUAAAUCCUGGAAACGGUAGCUACUACCGCAUACCAUCAGAUUUGCCCAGAUGGGGGUAGCUAGUAGGUGGGGUAACGGCUCACCUAGGCGACGAUCCCUAGCUGGUCUGCGAGGAUGAACAGCAACACUGGAACGGAGACAAGGUCCAGACGCCUACGGGAGGCAGCAGUGGGGAAUAUUGCACAAUGGGCGCAAGCCGGAGACAGCCAUGCCGCGUGUGUGAAGAAGGCCUUCGGGUUGUAAAGCACUUUCAGCGGGGAGGCGUUACCCGCAGAAGAAGCACCGGCUAACUCCGUGCCAGCCGCCGCGGUAAUUC